UGCAGUCGAACGGAAAGGCCCCUUCGGGGGUGCUCGAGUGGCGAACGGGUGAGUAACACGUGGGUGAUCUGCCCUGCACUUUGGGAUAAGCCUGGGAAACUGGGUCUAAUACCGAAUAUGAUCACGGGCUUCAUGGUCUGUGGUGGAAAGCUUUUGCGGUGUGGGAUGGGCCCGCGGCCUAUCAGCUUGUUGGUGGGGUAAUGGCCUACCAAGGCGACGACGGGUAGCCGGCCUGAGAGGGUGUCCGGCCACACUGGGACUGAGAUACGGCCCAGACUCCUACGGGAGGCAGCAGUGGGGAAUAUUGCACAAUGGGCGCAAGCCUGAUGCAGCGACGCCGCGUGAGGGAUGACGGCCUUCGGGUUGUAAACCUCUUUCAGCAGGGACGAAGCGCAAGUGACGGUACCUGUAGAAGAAGCACCGGCCAACUACGUGCCAGCAGCCGCGGUAAUACGUAGGGUGCGAGCGUUGUCCGGAAUUACUGGGCGUAAAGAGCUCGUAGGUGGUUUGUCGCGUUGUUCGUGAAAACUCACAGCUUAACUGUGGGCGUGCGGGCGAUACGGGCAGACUGGAGUACUGCAGGGGAGACUGGAAUUCCUGGUGUAGCGGUGGAAUGCGCAGAUAUCAGGAGGAACACCGGUGGCGAAGGCGGGUCUCUGGGCAGUAACUGACGCUGAGGAGCGAAAGCGUGGGGAGCGAACAGGAUUAGAUACCCUGGUAGUCCACGCCGUAAACGGUGGGUACUAGGUGUGGGUUUCCUUCCUUGGGAUCCGUGCCGUAGCUAACGCAUUAAGUACCCCGCCUGGGGAGUACGGCCGCAAGGCUAAAACUCAAAGAAAUUGACGGGGGCCCGCACAAGCGGCGGAGCAUGUGGAUUAAUUCGAUGCAACGCGAAGAACCUUACCUGGGUUUGACAUGCACAGGACGCCGGCAGAGAUGUCGGUUCCCUUGUGGCCUGUGUGCAGGUGGUGCAUGGCUGUCGUCAGCUCGUGUCGUGAGAUGUUGGGUUAAGUCCCGCAACGAGCGCAACCCUUGUCUCAUGUUGCCAGCACGUUAUGGUGGGGACUCGUGAGAGACUGCCGGGGUCAACUCGGAGGAAGGUGGGGAUGACGUCAAGUCAUCAUGCCCCUUAUGUCCAGGGCUUCACACAUGCUACAAUGGCCGGUACAAAGGGCUGCGAUGCCGUGAGGUGGAGCGAAUCCUUUCAAAGCCGGUCUCAGUUCGGAUCGGGGUCUGCAACUCGACCCCGUGAAGUCGGAGUCGCU
rnacentral:rRNA from 1 species